AUCUCAUAUUCGAAAAUCGGAUUGACUCAGUGUAAUAGACUAUUCGCUGAGGACGCUCUUUCGGGAGUGGCCGAGUUUUGUAAAGUAGAAGCUUCUAAUUCUAUUAGUCAACUUUAGAUUAGACCUCAGAUCAGGCAGGAUUACCCGCUGAA
rnacentral:rRNA from 1 species